rnacentral:rRNA from 3 species
UGGGGAAUAUUGCACAAUGGGGGAAACCCUGAUGCAGCGACGCCGCGUGAGCGAAGAAGGUUUUCGAAUCGUAAAGCUCUGUCCUAUGGGAAGAUAAUGACGGUACCAUAGGAGGAAGCCCCGGCUAACUACGUGCCAGCAGCCGCGGUAAUACGUAGGGGGCAAGCGUUGUCCGGAAUCACUGGGCGUAAAGGGUUCGCAGGCGGAAAUGCAAGUCAGUUGUGAAAGGCAGAGGCUCAACCUCUGUAAGCAAUUGAAACUGUAUUUCUUGAGAUGUGGAGAGGCAAGUGGAAUUCCUAGUGUAGCGGUGAAAUGCGUAGAUAUUAGGAAGAAUACCGGUGGCGAAGGCGACUUGCUGGACACAAACUGACGCUGAGGAACGAAAGCGUGGGUAGCAAACAGG